GACGAACGUUGGCGGCGUGCUUAACACAUGCAAGUCGAACGGAAAGGCCCUGCUUUUGUGGGGUGCUCGAGUGGCGAACGGGUGAGUAACACGUGAGUAACCUGCCCUUGACUUUGGGAUAACUUCAGGAAACUGGGGCUAAUACCGGAUAGGAGCUCCUGCUGCAUGGUGGGGGUUGGAAAGUUUCGGCGGUUGGGGAUGGACUCGCGGCUUAUCAGCUUGUUGGUGGGGUAGUGGCUUACCAAGGCUUUGACGGGUAGCCGGCCUGAGAGGGUGACCGGCCACAUUGGGACUGAGAUACGGCCCAGACUCCUACGGGAGGCAGCAGUGGGGAAUAUUGCACAAUGGGCGGAAGCCUGAUGCAGCAACGCCGCGUGCGGGGUGACGGCCUUCGGGUUGUAAACCGCUUUCGCCUGUGACGAAGCGUGAGUGACGGUAAUGGGUAAAGAAGCACCGGCUAACUACGUGCCAGCAGCCGCGGUGAUACGUAGGGUGCGAGCGUUGUCCGGAUUUAUUGGGCGUAAAGGGCUCGUAGGUGGUUGAUCGCGUCGGAAGUGUAAUCUUGGGGCUUAACCCUGAGCGUGCUUUCGAUACGGGUUGACUUGAGGAAGGUAGGGGAGAAUGGAAUUCCUGGUGGAGCGGUGGAAUGCGCAGAUAUCAGGAGGAACACCAGUGGCGAAGGCGGUUCUCUGGGCCUUUCCUGACGCUGAGGAGCGAAAGCGUGGGGAGCGAACAGGCUUAGAUACCCUGGUAGUCCACGCUGUAAACGGUGGGUACUAGGUGUGGGGUCCAUUCCACGGGUUCCGUGCCGUAGCUAACGCUUUAAGUACCCCGCCUGGGGAGUACGGCCGCAAGGCUAAAACUCAAAGGAAUUGACGGGGCCCCGCACAAGCGGCGGAGCAUGCGGAUUAAUUCGAUGCAACGCGUAGAACCUUACCUGGGUUUGACAUGGAUCGGGAGUGCUCAGAGAUGGGUGUGCCUCUUUUGGGGUCGGUUCACAGGUGGUGCAUGGCUGUCGUCAGCUCGUGUCGUGAGAUGUUGGGUUAAGUCCCGCAACGAGCGCAACCCUUGUUCACUGUUGCCAGCACGUUAUGGUGGGGACUCAGUGGAGACCGCCGGGGUCAACUCGGAGGAAGGUGGGGAUGACGUCAAGUCAUCAUGCCCCUUAUGUCCAGGGCUUCACGCAUGCUACAAUGGCUGGUACAGAGAGUGGCGAGCCUGUGAGGGUGAGCGAAUCUCGGAAAGCCGGUCUCAGUUCGGAUUGGGGUCUGCAACUCGACCUCAUGAAGUCGGAGUCGCUAGUAAUCGCAGAUCAGCAACGCUGCGGUGAAUACGUUCCCGGGGC
rnacentral:rRNA from 1 species